CAAGAAGCCGAAAGGCUACUUAAAACCAUCGCGAACUUAUCCAAGUUGCUUCGGCGGCGCGGCUCCCCUCACGGGGGACCGCUGCCCCCGCCUCUCAGGAGGUAAGGGGCAGCCGCCGGAGGUACGAAACUCUGUAUUAUAGUGGUAUCUCUGAGUAUAAAACAAAUAAGUUA
rnacentral:misc_RNA from 1 species